CAGCAGCCACGGUAAUACGGAGGGUGCAAGCGUUAAUCGGAAUUACUGGGCGUAAAGCGCACGCAGGCGGUCUGACAAGUCAGAUGUGAAAUCCCCGGGCUUAACCUGGGAACUGCAUUUGAAACUGUCAGGCUGGAGUCUUGUAGAGGGGGGUGGAAUUCCAGGUGUAGCGGUGAAAUGCGUAGAGAUCUGGAGGAAUACCGGUGGCGAAGGCGGCCACCUGGACAAAGACUGACGCUCAGGUGCGAAAGCGUGGGGAGCAAACAGGAUUAGAUACCCCUGUAGUCCCUGUCUCUUAUAC
rnacentral:rRNA from 1 species